UACGAACUGUGCAAACGUUAUUCGGAAUCACUGGGCUUGAAGAGUGCGUAGGCGGUUUCGUAAGUCGGGUGUGAAAGCCCCCGGCUCAACCGGGGAAUUGCGCCCUAAACUGCGAGGCUGGAGUGAGGUAGGGGUGUGUGGAACUUCCAGUGGAGCGGUGAAAUGUGUUGAUAUUGGAAGGAACGCCGGUGGCGAAAGCGACACACUGGACCUUGUCUGACGCUGAGGCACGAAAGCCAGGGGAGCGAACGGG
rnacentral:rRNA from 1 species